AAGUCGUAACAAGGUUUCCGUAGGUGAACCUGCGGAAGGAUCAUUAUUGAAUAAAAUUGGUUGGGUUUGUUGCUGGUUCUUAGGAGCAAUGUGCACGCCCAAUCUAUUUUUAUUAACCACCUGUGCACCUUGUGUAGAUCUGAACUAGUGAGAAUUGCUAUCACUGGCAAUUUCUCUUUAAUUCGGGUCUAUGUUUUUUUACAAACUCCAGAAUGUAUUAGAAUGUUGGAAAUAGGCCUUUUUUAUAUGUGCCUUUAAACAAUAAAAACAACUUUCAACAACGGAUCUCUUGGCUCUC
rnacentral:misc_RNA from 1 species